rnacentral:rRNA from 1 species
UAGGGAAUCUUCGGCAAUGGACGAAAGUCUGACCGAGCAACGCCGCGUGAGUGAAGAAGGUUUUCGGAUCGUAAAACUCUGUUGUUAGAGAAGAACAAGGACGUUAGUAACUGAACGUCCCCUGACGGUAUCUAACCAGAAAGCCACGGCUAACUACGUGCCAGCAGCCGCGGUAAUACGUAGGUGGCAAGCGUUGUCCGGAUUUAUUGGGCGUAAAGCGAGCGCAGGCGGUUUCUUAAGUCUGAUGUGAAAGCCCCCGGCUCAACCGGGGAGGGUCAUUGGAAACUGGGGGACUUGAGUGCAGAAGAGGGGAGUGGAAUUCCAUGUGGAGCGGUGAAAUGCGUAGAUAUAUGGGGGAACACCAGUGGCGAAGGCGGCUCUCUGGUCUGUAACUGACGCUGAGGCUCGAAAGCGUGGGGAGCAAACAGG